CUCACGACUUCCAGCAAUAUGGCCUCCACCACAACUACCACACUUAAUCUCCUUUUCCUUACAAUGAACAAUCUCAUGCUCACCCCCACAUUUACCGCUCCUUCUAGUUCCACGGCAAGCAGCUGCAAUAUGGCCAUACUUCUGGCACUUAAAACACCUGAAGGGUGGCCUCCUAUGUGGAUGAACUUUAAAGGACAAACAUCCUAGGAACACUCACUCUGGAAGAGCCUCUUCCUGAAAAGUUAACACUGCAACAGUUGACUCACGUUUAGUUCCAUCCCGAAAAACUCUUAUUCAAAAUGCCUCAGCAACCUUCGCACCAUCAAUGCCCCUGACCAGUUCCUCCAUAGAAGGUAAAUGCAAGACCCCAUAGAUCACUCCUUUCAUACCAGCCCUACUCCCUGGGACAAAUCCUUCCACUCGCCUCUUCCCUUUCGCAUCCAGAGAAACAGCUUUGGUCAACUGAGUAGCAGACUUACAGUAAACAAGCAGCUUUCCAUCUGCCAGAAUCCUUGCAUUUACAAUUUCAGCCAGCUCUUCCUUCAAUGCACUAGCGAGCAGACUGCCCUACCUUCAGUUUAAAGAUCACUUUAAACUCUUCUGACUGGCUGCUGUCCAUUCUCAUUAUCUUUACCUGCUCUCCCCCUCCGUCUGACUCCUGAGAUGAA